CGACACCUGGUCGCUGAUGAAAGCCUUUCGCAACAAGUCGGCCUUUGAACUUAUCCACAUUACCGUCAGGCUUUCGUUUGAUACGAUAAACCCACUUGCAGCCCACAACAUUCUGUGAAGAAUCAGGUGGAACAAGUUUCCACAGUACCGUCAGGCUUUCGUUUGAUACGAUAAACCCACUUGCAGCCCACAACAUUCUGUGAAGAAUAAGGUGGAACAAGAUCCCAGGUGCCAUUCCGUAGCAGAGCAUCAAACUCCAAUGACAUAGCAGCGCGCCAGCGCUCAUCGGACAUAGCACUAGACAAAGUCUGAGGUUCUGUAACAGCUGGAGAGGAUACAGCAGACAUACCAAACUUCUUGUUGGGCGUAAAGAUGUUAUUUUUGGUGCGAGUUUGCAUGUGAUGACCACCCUGAGAGGAUGAAGGUGGCCGCAUAGUGGGUGUAGC
rnacentral:lncRNA from 1 species